rnacentral:rRNA from 1 species
AUACGUAGGGGGCGAGCGUUGUCCGGAAUGAUUGGGCGUAAAGGGCGCGUAGGCGGCGCGGUAAGUCUGGAGUGAAAGUCCUGCUUUCAAGGUGGGAAUUGCUUUGGAUACUGCCGCGCUUGAGUGCAGGAGAGGUUAUCGGAAUUCCCGGUGUAGCGGUGAAAUGCGUAGAGAUCGGGAGGAACACCAGUGGCGAAGGCGGGUAACUGGACUGCAACAGACUCUGAGGCGCGAAAGUGUGGGGAGCAAACAGGAUUAGAUACCCUGGUAGUCCACACUGUAAACGAUGAAUGCUAGGUGUAGGGGGUAGCGAUCCCUUCUGUGCCGCAGUCAACACAAUAAGCAUUCCGCCUGGGGAGUACGGCCGCAAGGUUGAAACUCAAAGGAAUUGACGGGG